rnacentral:tRNA from 1 species
GUGGACGUUAGCUCAGUGGUUGGAGCACAGGCCUCUGGCUCUCGGGUCCGCGAGUUCGAGUCCCGUCGUCUACU